rnacentral:rRNA from 1 species
UUCCACCUCUUCCCAUUCCGAACAGAGAAGUUAAGCCCGAUUGCGCCGAUGGUACUGCAAUGCAAUGUGGGAGAGUAGGUAGCUGCCUUUU